UUUGCAUGCUGGGACUAGCUUGGGAUUCUGGUGCUGGGGGCCAGCAUUUAUUGUCUUUUGGGUGCUGGUAUGAUCCCAGCAAGACCACAACAAAACUUGUGUAUCACUGAGGUAGUGUGGUAGUUAGUGAAAUAAAUUAGGUUCAAUUUACAAAUGAUGAUUGAGCAUUAGUGAUGACACCUGCAGUUAACAAGCAGAAUCAAUGAGGAUAAGUGAAACAGUAAGAUCAGAAAAAGUGAACAGGUCAGCAGAAACACAACAACUACAACUGACUUAUAGCCACACAGAUUUAGAUGAUAUAAAAAUAUCACCAGAGAAUGAUGAACCCCAACUAACUCUAAAAACAUAUUUACCAUAUUCACCUAUUACAAACUAGUUUGGCUUUAUUCCUUUCUUAUGGUUCAUAUUCAAAAGUUGCUGAAAUUUGUUACCAUUAUGGUGAUUAGUGUUCCUAUAGUUGGGCACUUGGCCAUUGCCUUUGGUUGAUUUAAUUCAGUUUCAACACUUGUUAAAAGUGCAUGCUAUCACUAUUUAACAUAUUAUAAAACUUCA